UUGGAUGAAUUUAAUUAAAUUUGAUCAAUGUAAGUAAGUUUAUUGUAAGCAUUUUUCUUUGUUCACCAAUAAACAAAAUAGUUAAGUAAAUCCUUUUUCCAAAAUUCAAAAGUGGAAAAGAAAUUUAAGUAAGUUUUUGUAAGCAUUUUUCAUUGUUCACCAAUAAACAAAAUAGUUAAGUAAAAUCUUUUUCCAAAAUUCAAAGUGGCAAAGAAAUUUACCCUUUUCAAAAUUGGAAAUAAACAUGUGGCAAGUAAUUAAUGAUUUUAGGUAUUAUAAAUAGUCACAAUAUGAAACAUUCUAAUGUCAAAAAAAAAAAACUUUUCUUUACACAAAAAAACAUGGCUAAAGCUUCAACCAUUCUUUUGUAUUUGGCCAUUUUGUUGAUCUUUUCAUCUGAUGUCAUUUUGAUGGGACAAGCAUGUACUUUGGCAUCAGAGUGUCCACAAUGUAGGGUUGGAAUUCCAGAAUGUGCUGAUGGUGUGUGUAUAUGUUGUGUUGGUCGAACAUGUCAAGGUGAUCAAGAAAACAUUAAUCUAGGUCAAAUAUUAUGAUCUUACAAGAUUAUUCUAAUUAGUUAUUAAAGCUUUUUAGAGCUUAUUAUAUGUCAGUCCAAAAUAUGAUUAUUGAAUAUUAAUAAAGAUUAUUAUAUUUUAUCAAAA